rfam:Camelus ferus unplaced genomic scaffold scaffold726, whole genome shotgun sequence.
UUUUUAGCAUAAGUAUAUCCCAUGCAAUAUUUGGGAUAUACUUAAACUAAAA